UACUUUUUGAACAUUUGCACGCAAUUUGCGCAUUGCUUUAUGAAUAUGAUGGCCGAAGAUAAGGAGUUAAUGAAUGCUGAAAGAACGGAAGCUAAGAGAAGCAGAAAGCUAACGGAGAAAGCACUGGAGGAGAAGCUGCUCAGUGGAACCAGGAACUGCGGUCAACUCAGCCGACACUCGGAUCUCCUUGGUCAACUCAGCCGACACUUAAAUUUCUGUGCACCUAUAGACUGAUGUUCACGCCGUUUCUGCAUCUUCGUCAUCCUCCUCAUCUGCCAGACGACGGGAAAGAGGUCUUUACCCCGAGCGCCCACCUGGGACCAUGAGCUCCUCUCCCAGGCAGCAGGACUCGUGUUGUGGUCUCUUCUGAUGUUCCACCUGUUGUCCUGGUGACUCCGGUCCUGAUGAGGGGGCGUAUCCGUCUUUGUUUUCUGAUGUGCAUGAAGAGAACCUGCUGUGCUCCCAACACCUGCCCAGGUGACACCGCGAUGACUGGCUCCUGAACCCAUUGCAACAUGAACCCGUGUAUGAAUGAAAUGUCCUCUGGACGUCGUCAUGUCACAAAGCCUCUGGUUAUAACAGCAGUGUGUGUGUGGACGGUCAAAGUACACAAACAGGUGUCUCCAUCUGCUCCACAGGCAGCAGCAGCCGAGGCUCCACCAGGAGGUGAUGCAUCAACUCACAUGAGCCACUGCUCCUCUUCCUCCUGAACCAGAUGCUGGUCCAGCUCGCUUCACCAACGACAGCGUAGAGGUCAUGUGACAUUCUGGCUUCAUCUUGUCAACAUGUUCAAUGUUCUCCAGUGUCAGAGGCGCUCCUGAUUUCUCCUGAGACGUCUGCAGAGUCAACUGCCAACUCCAGAGAGGGCAACGUCCGUAUUGUGAGCCGGUCCCCAGGCCAGUAGCCCUCCGGUCCUCCUCCACAGCUUGACGUCAGCCAGUGGACCUGAUGAAGACGAGCUGGAAGCUUUGGCUCUCUGGCCGCGCUCCAUUCCUGUGGAGCCCAUGGAGAUGGGGUCAUUGUGGCGUUUCCCUCCCCAGCCGGAAUUGAUCGACAGCAUCUCUGAUCUUCCUUCCCCAAAGAACUUUCAGCUCCAUCCCUUUUUCAUAUGGAAGCCAGAAAGCGACCGCCUCACGGGGAGAACGCCGCUCUGCCGUGGGAGGUGGUGCCCGGCCUCAAGUCGCCUCUGCCGGUGUUGGGAGACCUCGUGUGGUUACUGGUCUCACUGGGCGGUCUUACCUGCUGUCAUCCAGGCUGUGCUGCAAGCUCUGCAGAAGAAGUGGUCCGCCGACAGCCCACCGUGGCUGGAGAAGUUACCAAAGAGGGACGCCAACCUCUUGCCAGACAAGAAGGCGAUAUGUAAAUCUGUCAUGGACGAGCUCAGGCCGACAUGACGAAGCAGGUCAUGGAGGUGAUGCACCUGAGAUUUGAACGUGCUCACCUGGCCCACCUCCUCAGCUGCCAAAACGCCAUGGAUGGGGAGGCGGGACACGAUGAACAAAGAACCAUCACUCAGUCGUUGCGUCAGGAAACCAAGCCGGCUCCCUUGGGCGAGUCCAGUGACUCCGAUGCUGGAGCGGGAUCGUCGUCUGACAAACAGCAGGAGCAUCAACACAUCCUGGUACCUUUGGACGGGCCUUCCGCUCAGACCACACGCAAAAUUGCAAGGAAGGUCACGUCUCCUCCGGCAGCAUGUCCUCGUAUGAAUGAGAAGCGGAUGAUCCUUUGAUGGUGCAGUCCGAGACGGAGAAGUCCCUGCGGCCCUCGAGGGCCCAGAGGCACGCGGCUCUGGGCCGACGGGGACAUGACAAUCUAUACAUGCUUGAAAUGGCUCCAACACAAUUCAUAUUGCUUUUUGAUAUUUCCAGUUGAAUAGAAGAAGCCAUUUGGCUGUUGAUAAUGGUCUUCUUGUCACUGGCUCAGGCGCCUGCUGUCACCUUCAUGCGGUGCUUCUUCUGUCAGUGGCAGGAGAGCCUCUGAACUGGGACUCUUGGCAAACAGCUGAUGCCAUCGUUGCCACUUCUGGUACCUGCUGAACGGCGGUCCCAUUUCAAUGCUGGCCGUGUUCCAUCGCAUGAGGAGGUUCCUGUGUGACGGAGCAUCGUGCACUCGAUCGCUCUUCUGCUCACUUCCUGUCUGCAGCCUGCGGUGGAUCAGGAAGACCUGCAGCGGCUUAGAGACGCCGAUGCCUUCUGUGGGAUUCAGCCUGCCAACCGAGCCACACAUUCAGGAGCACGGAGGGAGUGUUCCAGCAGUUCCACCUGGCCAGUGAUCCCAAUGGCGUUCCCCUCUUCAAGCCCUCCAUGCUGGCGGUGUCCAGCGCCUGCACAUCCUGCCAGGUUGCCCGAGUGAUCCUGUGGUUGAAGGAGGGAUUUAGUAUCGGCGUGGAGGAUCAGUGCAGCUGAAUCCCGUGCAGGGUGAAGGGGCCAGAGUUCCUGUGUGGAUCCCCAUCAGAGGGGUAUCACUUCCACCAGGCUGGUGACUGGUGGCCCGGUGGAGUUCCCAGCGUUCACCUCCCAGCCGCCUCUGAUCCUGCAUGAUGGCCCAGCUCAGCCUCCGGCGGCUGCUGGGGAGAUGAAGUAUCCAGCACUUCAUCUCUCUCGCACCGACACGGGAGAGAAGUUGGACCUGCAGUCCGUUGAGCCGGUUCCUGUGGCCUGGGACACAGGAGCAAGUCGGACUCUGCCCCUCCUCAAAGCAGCGUGCCCACUCAUCCUGCUCCACUUCCUCCUGUGGGUUCUGCUGCUGUCAAACCAGAAGUGGCUCCAGAGCCUCCGACAGAUCCAGGUAACAUCAAACACAGACAUGGUAAUGGACCAGACUUUAGUGAGUAGGAACUGAAUCAUAUUCAUUUUCAGGAGGUUUCCCCUUCUGUAGAUCUGAAUAACUUCUUGUGUCCUUUGUCUCUGCCGCUCACACUGGACCUGUGAAGAAGGGGGGGGGGUGUUUGUGUUGGCCGGCCCCCAUGAAGGCAGCGACUGACAAACACUAAACACGUGGCAUGAAGGACCUGCUCAGGCUCGUGGACCAGGACUAUGCUGCUCGAGUUCACAACUCUUGCAGACCCAAACAGCUCCACCCAACAACGAAACACCACAUCUUGCAAUAUGUCAAACACCUCUGCAAGUUACUGAACACCAGCCAGAACUCUGACAAAGGGCAGCGAGACGACCCGGGUGGCAGUCGUGAACCCACCGUCACCGGGUCAGACCCUCACUAAAGCCUCCAUUGAGCAAAUUGUGCAAAAUAUUAUUGAAAAACAACAGCAUAAGCAACAACAACAACAACCAGUGGCUACAAAGAAGCCUUACCCUCCAUUACAUUACAUGUCAUUUGGCUGACGCAUUGAUCCAAAGCGACUUACAAUCCUGUUACAUUCAUUCACUACAGGGAGCAACUCAGGGUGAAGUGUCUUGCUCAAGGACACAUCGACUAGGGCGGGGAUUGAACCUCCAACCCCCUGAUUGAAAGACGGACCUGCUAACCACUGACCCAUAGUCGACCAAAACAUGCCUUUCCUGUGGUCAGCCAAAGUCCAGGUAUGAGAAUGAUGGUUCCUCCAUCCACUCCUUUAUCCAGCAGGGCCCGUCAGAUACUUUUACUGCUCCACUAAAGUGUUGAAAGCUUCCGGUGCCGAGGGUCUGACAAACCCAAACAUGCCAUUUAAUGACUUUGCAGAAACAGUUCUUUCAGCAGGAAGAAAAGGGAGGAGAGAGGCCAGCAGGAGAGGAAGUCGGAACCCCAGAACACCAAGGUGUCUCUUCUGUGGGACUGAAGCCGGGCCCAAACAGUCCUCAUUCACACCGGGUUCCCGGUCCGUUUCUUGUCCUGGAGAGACCAGGGCAGGAGGAGAUGACGUGUGACAGUUCCAUCUCCUUUUUAUGAGACAGAAAAACACAGAUGGGCCGUUGCCAAGAGAAACAGAGAUGGGCAGUGUUUUCAUGUAUAUAUCUUUUCCUAUUUUAAUAAUUACAUUCUUUUAUUAUAUAAAUAUUUGUUUUCCUGUUUGUAUUGUUUGUGUGACCUUGCACUAUGGCCUGUGUUCAAUAUUUACUGUCCGUUGUGAAUAAACAUUUCAUGGACUAA